UGAACGCUGGCGGCGUGCCUACUACAUGCACGUCGAGCGAACAGACGAGGAGCUUGCUCCUCUGACGUUAGCGGCGGACGGGUGAGUAACACGUGGAUAACCUACCUAUAAGACUGGGAUAACUUCGGGAAACCGGAGCUAAUACCGGAUAAUAUAUUGAACCGCAUGGUUCAAUAGUGAAAGACGGUUUUGCUGUCACUUAUAGAUGGAUCCGCGCCGCAUUAGCUAGUUGGUAAGGUAACGGCUUACCAAGGCAACGAUGCGUAGCCGACCUGAGAGGGUGAUCGGCCACACUGGAACUGAGACACGGUCCAGACUCCUACGGGAGGCAGCAGUAGGGAAUCUUCCGCAAUGGGCGAAAGCCUGACGGAGCAACGCCGCGUGAGUGAUGAAGGUCUUCGGAUCGUAAAACUCUGUUAUUAGGGAAGAACAAAUGUGUAAGUAACUAUGCACGUCUUGACGGUACCUAAUCAGAAAGCCACGGCUAACUACGUG
rnacentral:rRNA from 1 species